rnacentral:rRNA from 1 species
ACGUAGGAGGCGAGCGUUGUCCGGAAUUACUGGGCGUAAAGAGCGCGUAGGCGGCGCAGCACGAUCGGUGUGAAAGCCCCCGGCCCAACCGGGGAGGGUCAUCGAUAACGGCUGUGCUCUGAGUGCAGGAGAGGGGAGUGGAACUCCGGGAGUAGCGGUGAAAUGCGUAGAUACCCGGAGGAACACCAGUGGCGAAGGCGGCUCCCUGGCCUGCGACUGACGCUGAGGCGCGAAAGCUGGGGGAGCGAACGGGAUUAGAUACCCCGGUAGUCCCAGCCGUAAACGAUGGACACUAGGUGUACGCGGUAUCGACCCCGCGUGUGCCGGCGCUAACGCAGUAAGUGUCCCGCCUGGGGAGUACGGCCGCAAGGCUA